UACGUAGGGGGCAAGCGUUGUCCGGAUUUAUUGGGCGUAAAGAGCGUGUAGGCGGCCAAGCAGGUCAGCUGUGAAAACUCGAGGCUCAACCUCGAGACGUCGGUUGAAACCGCUUGGCUAGAGUCCGGAAGAGGAGAGUGGAAUUCCCGGUGUAGCGGUGAAAUGCGCAGAUAUCAGGAGGAACACCGGUGGCGAAGGCGGGUCUCUGGGCCGUAACUGACGCUGAGGAGCGAAAGCGUGGGGAGCAAACAGG
rnacentral:rRNA from 1 species